rnacentral:pre_miRNA from 1 species
CUGGCACGAUAAUGAUAAUGAUGGUGGUGAUGAUGAUGAUGAUGAUAACACUGUUAAUCAUCAUCAUCAUCACCAACAUCAUUAUCACUAUCA